UAUUCCUGGGCGUGUCAGUGCUCAGCACCCAGCACUGCAUGUGAGCUGGUGGGCGAACGCCAGGCUUCAGUUGGGUCCACAGACCUGCCCGCCCAGGAAGCUGCCUUCCGCUGCCUCUGGGAAGGAUCCGCCCACACCAGCUGCCACUUCUCUGGGAACUUGGUCACCCCCAGCCCUCGCCUGCCCUCUUGCGGGGUAGACAGAGCAAGAGCGCCUGUGCCACGGCUUGCUCUGCUCUGGGCGAUCAGUUGCUGUUGGACACCCAGCUGAGUGGGGCUGCAGUGUCUGGUCACCUGGACGCCAGGGAGAGGGUGAGCUGGCAGAAGCCACCUGUGACUCCAAGGUGCUCGGAGAUGGGGAGAGAACGUGGGCAAGAGAGUCGCAGUGCACCCUCUGCGGGGAGCCAGAAGGUGAGUACCCCUCACCCCCGCCUCAGGUGGGCAUGCCCUGUGCUGAAACAGACACUGCAGCGUGCCUGCCUGAGGCAGCUAAAAACCCCAAAUGCGUGCUUGGUGGUGUUUGAUGGAAAAAGUGAGUGAAAAACCAGAACCCAAGGGAUGAGCUUUGCUCAGGACACACUCAUCUCUAGAGGAAAACUGGCCUCGCACCCAGAUUGCCACACGUGCGGUCUGGGUGGAGAAAGUUAACUCAUUUUCUCCCUGUAAUCAGUGCCAGUGUUGGAAAUACAUCUCAAUAAAUUGGCCGNAAGGUGAGUACCCCUCA
rnacentral:lncRNA from 1 species